GCUUGUUUUGGCACACACAGACUAAAAUUGGAAUGAUACAGUGAAAAUUAGCAUGACCUCUAUGCAAGGAUGACAUGUAAAGUUGUGAAGCAAAACAAAAAAAA
ensembl:snRNA U6 U6 spliceosomal RNA